AAAACUUUCAACAACGGAUCUCUUGGUUCUGGCAUCGAUGAAGAACGCAGCGAAAUGCGAUAAGUAAUGCGAAUUGCAGAAUUCGUGAGUCAUCGAAUUUUGAACGCACAUUGCGCCUUUGGUAUUCCGAAGGGCAUGCCUGUUCGAGCGUCAUUA
rnacentral:rRNA from 1 species